CGACCGGCGGACGGGUGCGUAACGCGUAUGUAACCUACCUUUGACAGGGGGAUAACAUCGAGAAAUUGGUACUAAUACCCCAUAACAUCACCAGAGGCAUCUUCGGUGGUUGAAAACUCAGGUGGUCAGAGAUGGACAUGCGUUGUAUUAGCUAGUUGGUGAGGUAACGGCUCACCAAGGCGACGAUACAUAGGGGGACUGAGAGGUCAACCCCCCACAUUGGUACUGAGACACGGACCAAACUCCUACGGGAGGCAGCAG
rnacentral:rRNA from 1 species